rnacentral:rRNA from 1 species
UACGAGGGGGGCAAGCGUUGUUCGGAAUUAUUGGGCGUAAAGCGCACGUAGGCGGCUUUGUAAGUUAGAGGUGAAAGCCCGGGGCUCAACCCCGGAAUUGCCUUUAAGACUGCAUCGCUUGAAUCCGGGAGAGGUGAGUGGAAUUCCGAGUGUAGAGGUGAAAUUCGUAGAUAUUCGGAAGAACACCAGUGGCGAAGGCGGCUCACUGGACCGGUAUUGACGCUGAGGUGCGAAAGCGUGGGGAGCAAACAGG